UGUCAAAAAUUACAUUCGAAAUUUUUUAGUUAUCUCUCUUUGUAUAGAGUUCAGCAAUUGAAGUUUUGUAAUAUGUCAAAAACUACAUUAGAAGUUUUUGAGUUAUCUCUCUUUGUAUAGAGUUCAGCAAUUGAAGUAAAAUUUGGAAAUUAAAUAAAAUUAAGAAAAAACAGAAAAGAUAAUUUUUAUAUUAGCAUUUAUAUAUUUUAUUAAAUCAUAUUUAUGAUACAGUUUGAUUAUUUUGUCCAAAUAUUAUUUAAAGGUAUUUCAAAAUAUUAUUUACUUCAUUCUAGUAAUUAGUGUACAGGUAAAAACUGUUCACUACAUUGUAUGUUUUUACUAUUGAUAAAUAACUGAUCGACAGGUGUAGUUGUGUCUCAGUUUUGUGAACAAGAAUAUUUGAAGAUUUAAGGUAGAUCUAUGUGUUUUUCCUACUAGAGUAUGAUAUUUUGAGGUGAAAUUGUCUACCAUUUCCUUAUUUAGGGUAUGUAUAUUGAAUUGUAAUUAUGUGCCCUUGAUUGAUAUUAUGAUUAUGUUUAGUUAAUUUUUGAUAUUUCUAAUUGAAACAUUAUUGAUUAUUCAUAAAAAAAAUGUUGUUUACUUUGAAGACUUUCUCUUGUGUUCAUAUUUUGAUUUGAGAAAUGUUAAGAAUUGUAAUAUUCAGAAAGGGAGAUAAUCGUGUUCUUAUAGCUUUUAUAUAGCUUUGGAUAAAUUAAUAGUUCUGAUGUAUUUAAUUGAUAUUUGAAAAAGCAAUCUUUAUUUCAAGUUAAAUUUAAUUGAAUUUAUAUCUGCAUAUUAAUAGACUUAUGAUGUUUUGUGUUUUUCCAUUUUUUUUCCACAAAUAUUGAACUAUUCAGCGUUGCCAAUAAUUAAUGUUAUUUUUCGAUAUAUGUAUAAUGUGAAUAUAUGAAUACAGUACAAUAAAUUCAUGAACCUUA